GGCUACUGCUAUCGGUGUUCGCCUAAGCCAUGCGAGUCAUAUGUUCGUAAGAACAUGGCGUACUGCUCAGUAACACGUGGAUAACCUGCCCUUGGGUCCGGCAUAACCCCGGGAAACUGGGGAUAAUUCCGGAUAACGCAUAUAUGCUGGAAUGCUUUAUGCGUAAAAUGGAUUCGUCUGCCCAAGGAUGGGUCUGCGGCCUAUCAGGUAGUAGUGGGUGUAAUGUACCUACUAGCCUACGACGGGUACGGGUUGUGAGAGCAAGAGCCCGGAGAUGGAUUCUGAGACAUGAAUCCAGGCCCUACGGGGCGCAGCAGGCGCAAAACUUUACAAUGCGGGAAACCGUGAUAAGGGGACACCGAGUGCCAGCAUCCUAUGCUGGCUGUCCGGGUGUGUAAACUACACCCGUUAGCAAGGGCCGGGCAAGACCGGUGCCAGCCGCCGCGGUAACACCGGCGGCCCGAGUGGUGAUCGUGAUUAUUGGGUCUAAAGGGUCCGUAGCCGGUUUGGUCAGUCCUCCGGGAAAUCUGACAGCUUAACUGUUAGGCUUUCGGAAGAUACUGCCAGACUUGGAACCGGGAGAGGUAAGAGGUACUACAGGGGUAGGAGUGAAAUCUUGUAAUCCCUGUGGGACCACCUGUGGCGAAGGCGUCUUACCAGAACGGGUUCGACGGUGAGGGACGAAAGCUGGGGGCACGAACCGGAUUAGAUACCCGGGUAGUCCCAGCCGUAAACGAUGCUCGCUAGGUGUCAGGCAUGGCGCGACCGUGUCUGGUGCCGCAGGGAAGCCGUGAAGCGAGCCACCUGGGAAGUACGGCCGUAAGGCUGAAACUUAA
rnacentral:rRNA from 1 species